GACGAACGCUGGCGGCGUGCUUAACACAUGCAAGUCGAACGAAGUGGCGAACGGGUGAGUAAUGCGUAAUCAACCUGCACUUCAGAGGGGGACAACAGUUGGAAACGACUGCUAAUACAGCAAACUGAAGGAGGGGAUUGCGUCGGAUUAGCUAGUAGGAGGGGUAACGGCCCACCAAGGCGAUGAUCAGUAGCCGGUCUGGGAGGAUGAACGGCCACAUUGGUACUGAGACACGGCCCAGACUCCUACGGGAGGCAGCAGUGGGGAAUCUUCCGCAAUGGACGGAAGUCUGACGGAGCAACGCCGCGUGAGUGAUGGCGGCCUUCGGGUUGUAAAGCUCUGUUAAUCGGGACGCGGUACCGGAAUAGAAAGCCACGGCUAACUACGUGCCAGCAGCCGCGGUAAUUC
rnacentral:rRNA from 1 species